rnacentral:miRNA from 1 species
CACAACCAGGGUCUCUAAAGCUAGACAUUCUAGAGAAUUUUUUUUUUUAUUUCGGCGUCUAGGUCUAGAGUCUCAAGGAAGUG